AUCUUUUUAGUAAAAAAAUUACAAGUGAUUUCCAAUCAUUUAGCCUUAGUUAAAAUCUAAGAAAAGAUA
rnacentral:tRNA from 1 species